GCUUUUUUUUGUUUUGUUUUGUUGAUGAGUUCGCUUCUGGCAGAACGGUGCAGCUGUCUAGUAUAGCACGCCCUAGCUGUGUAUGCGAAACCGAAUAAACUUUAGCGUAGGGCCCAACCUUACCUAAGGUUAUGAUUUUCGUACUGAAUAAUUUUACAUUGGGUAUUUGCCAUUUAAAGUCGCAAAGCAAGAUACGAAGGUAACCUGGCAAGUGUCGCGCGUCUUGUCGCGGUCUCCGUAGCACAACUGCGUGCUGUUGUCGAACCCGUCGAGCAGGUGGCGGUGCGGAGGGUAGUGCGUCAAGCACUCCUCGGCGGUGAACUCGCUCACUUCAACCUAGUAUAGAAUGAUUGACAAGACAAGUCCCACACUAUUGUGGCGGGUAGCCACCAUAGAACAAAAAACUAACUCGAGAACGGCUGGACGAUUUGGCUAAUUUUGGUCUUGAAUUAUUUGUGGAAGUCCAGAGAAGGUUUAAAAAGUAGAUAAAUAUGAAAAGGCUCGGAAUAAAAAAAAAUUACAAUUUUGUUUUUCCUUUCAUGUGUCCCUCGUCGGACGGAUUCCUUUUGUUUGUUUUAAGCUUCGAACUAUUAUUGAUCGAAGGUUUUAAGUUUAUUUUAUACAAAAGUUUAGGUUUAGGUAUUCGGUUGAGGCACCACGAAGUCUGCCGGGUCAGCUAGUCGAAAAUAAAUUAAAUAAAAAUUCAAUUUCAUUUACAAGAUUCAAGUAAAGCUUAAAAUUAGAUAUCACAAACAAUAUUAUCAAAUAAUUCUAAAACUUUGAUUCUGAUCUGCGUCGAGCGUGACGCGACGUGGUCACGCGGCACACGAGCCGGUCUUCCUUAAGGAAAAUCAACUUGUGCUGUUCACGAAACCAGUUAUUAUAAGUAUUAGUAACGCUAUUUAUUGUAUUUGUUUAUUUCUGUAGGUGGCAGAUGAGCUCACGGAACAUUACAUAAUUUCCACUCACGUUAUCAAACGGCUCCUGUAUCAAACUCACUCCUGGUACAUAGUACUCCAAGAUGAGAGAAUCGCAGCGUUUGGCGAGCACGCACGUGCCAUUGUGCUCGUCCCGGAGACACCAGGCCCCUGCGGCGCGGCGCGCACUCACACUCACUGUACACAGCGUAGGUAUACAGAGAACAGAGGUCAGAGGCACGUGACAAAUGUCAUCGCAGCUAAAAUAGAAUAGUUGACAAACUCUUGAAG